CAGAUCAGAAGGUGAUUGUGGCUUU
rnacentral:ncRNA from 3 species